rnacentral:ncRNA from 1 species
UCCCAAGGGGGCUGGUGUUGCUGGCUGAGAUUAAGAACGUGAUUCUUAGACCUUUCUUACCUGAUCUGGUUAAUUCCAGCGUAGGGAGAGGCUU